rnacentral:rRNA from 1 species
GAUGAACGCUGGCGGCGUGCCUAAUACAUGCAAGUCGAGCGAACGGACGAGAAGCUUGCUUUUCUGAUGUUAGCGGCGGACGGGUGAGUAACACGUGGAUAACCUACCUAUAAGACUGGGAUAACUUCGGGAAACCGGAGCUAAUACCGGAUAAUAUUUUGAACCGCAUGGUUCAAAAGUGAAAGACGGUCUUGCUGUCACUUAUAGAUGGAUCCGCGCUGCAUUAGCUAGUUGGUAAGGUAACGGCUUACCAAGGCAACGAUGCAUAGCCGACCUGAGAGGGUGAUCGGCCACACUGGAACUGAGACACGGUCCAGACUCCUACGAGAGGCAGCAGUAGGGAAUCUUCCGCAAUGGGCGAAAGCCUGACGGAGCAACGCCGCGUGAGUGAUGAAGGUCUUCGGAUCGUAAAACUCUGUUAUUAGGGAAGAACAUAUGUGUAAGUAACUGUGCACAUCUUGACGGUACCUAAUCAGAAAGCCACGGCUAUCUACGUG